rnacentral:rRNA from 1 species
CAGUAGCCACGGUAAUACGAAGGGUGCAAGCGUUAAUCGGAAUUACUGGGCGUAAAGCGUGCGCAGGCGGUUAUAUAAGACAGAUGUGAAAUCCCCGGGCUCAACCUGGGAACUGCAUUUGUGACUGUAUAGCUAGAGUACGGCAGAGGGGGAUGGAAUUCCGCGUGUAGCAGUGAAAUGCGUAGAUAUGCGGAGGAACACCGAUGGCGAAGGCAAUCCCCUGGGCCUGUACUGACGCUCAUGCACGAAAGCGUGGGGAGCAAACAGGAUUAGAUACCCCAGUAGUCCCUGUCUCUUAUAC